GCGCCCGUAGCUCAACUGGAUAGAGCAUCCGCCUUCUAAGCGGACGGCUGCAGGUUCAAGUCCUGCCGGGCGCGCCA
rnacentral:tRNA from 1 species